GUGUGUUUGUGUGUUAGUGUAUGUGUGUUAGUGUGUGUGUUUGUGUAUGUGUGUUAGUGUGUGUAUGUGUGUUAGUGUAUGUGUGUGUUAGUGUAUGUGUGUUAGUGUAUGUGUGUUAGUGUGUGUGUUUGUGUGUUAGUGUAUGUGUGUGUUAGUGUAUCUGUGUGUUAGUGUAUGUGUGUGUGUCAGUAUGUCUGUGUGUGUGUGUCAGUAUGUCUGUCUGUCUGUGUGUCAGUAUAUAUGUGUGUGUAUAUCUGUGUGUGUCAGUAUGUGUAUGUGUCAGUAUGUCUGUCAG
rnacentral:lncRNA from 1 species